rnacentral:rRNA from 1 species
AUUGAACGCUGGCGGCAUGCCUUACACAUGCAAGUCGAACGGCAGCGCGGACUUCGGUCUGGCGGCGAGUGGCGAACGGGUGAGUAAUACAUCGGAACGUACCCUGUUGUGGGGGAUAACUAGUCGAAAGAUUAGCUAAUACCGCAUACGACCUGAGGGUGAAAGUGGGGGACCGCAAGGCCUCACGCAGCAGGAGCGGCCGAUGUCUGAUUAGCUAGUGGGUGGGGUAAAGGCCCACCAAGGCGACGAUCAGUAGCUGGUCUGAGAGGACGAUCAGCCACACUGGGACUGAGACACGGCCCAGACUCCUACGGGAGGCAGCAGUGGGGAAUUUUGGACAAUGGGGGCAACCCUGAUCCAGCAAUGCCGCGUGUGUGAAGAAGGCCUUCGGGUUGUAAAGCACUUUUGUCCGGAAAGAAAUCGCGCUGGUUAAUACCUGGCGUGGAUGACGGUACCGGAAGAAUAAGCACCGGCUAACUACGUGCCAGCCGCCGCAGUAA